GCUUAUGAACUGUUGAAUAUAAUGGAAUUGGAACUGUUGGCUAUGGAAACACUCGUAAUAAUGUUGUGGUUGUGUCUUAAGAAGUAUUGUUGUUGCUCUUCUUGUUUAUGAAUUGAUUGUUGUUUAUCUUUGUGAUUUGUUGUUUGGUUGUGAUUGUUGUGAACUGAAACUGUACAGCAAGGUCGGGUUGCGCGCCAUAGCACGGUAUUAUAAGGUGGCGGGUUGUGGUGAUAAGGGCGGCCGAGGUAAUAAGGGUGGACGAGG
rnacentral:lncRNA from 1 species